AUGGGUGCUUGGAUGCAUUGUUGGACUUUGUUAUGUUCUUGCUUUUUUGCUUUACACAAUCACUCUGAACCAGAACUCUUCAUCUUAUUCUCAGCACAUGAACCUGACUCAGCGUCAGUAUCACUGCAGUGUCUCGUGACUGGACUUGUCCCGUAUCAGGUGCGCGUGUUCUGGAUGAUUGGAGAGAAUGUGCUCUCUGGAUGGACUGAGUCCGGCUGGACAGACAACACUGAUUCUGCUAGAGAAUUCACACGGGCUCAUCUCUCUGUUUCUGCAGAGGAGUGGAAUAAAGCAGAUGAAAUUCACUGCUUUGCUGAAUAUGAUGGCAAAAACAUCUCCAAAGCUCUGGUGCGAAUCGGACCUGAACCUAAAAUCUUCUCAUGGCUUGUGUACACCAGCUGUGUGGCAGCGCUCCUUACCAUAUUUCUAACCGUUAUUAUGUCUGUGGGAUUAUAUCGAGAUAUGUUGAUGACCAAAAAAUCCAGACGGUCAGUAUUACAACAUAUACUUUACAAAAGUUCAAAACUAUAUUAA
rnacentral:lncRNA from 1 species